CCAUUAGGUGUCGCACUCUCGUCAGCCUGUGCCUCCAUAAAAGGGAAGCUGGAAGGGUGGUGGCCAGGUGUCGAUUUCCUGUGUGUUAGACCGGCUGUGUGUUGGGCCCACGCUGUUUGCUGGCUGUGGACUGCAUUGUUGAUGGUGUUCGGCUGGUAGCGUUACCUGGGCGUGGGUGUUCGACGCCGCAGGGUUGCACCAGAUUGGAUACACCAAGAUUUGAUUUGGAAGUGUUGAUUUAUGCAAUGCAGUUUUUGCACUGCCUCCUGCUGUCCCUUUUAG